rnacentral:rRNA from 1 species
UACGGGGGGGGCAAGCGUUGUUCGGAAUUACUGGGCGUAAAGGGCUCGUAGGUGGCCAACUAAGUCAGACGUGAAAUCCCCAGGCUUAACCUGGGAACUGCGUCUGAUACUGGAUGGCUUGAAUUCGGGAGAGGGAUGCAGAAUUCCAGGUGUAGCGGUGAAAUGCGUAGAUAUCUGGAGGAAUACCGGUGGCGAAGGCGGCAUCCUGGACCGAGAUUGACACUGAUGAGCGAAAGCCAGGGGAGCAAACAGG